rnacentral:rRNA from 1 species
GACGAACGCUGGCGGCGUGCUUAACACAUGCAAGUCGAACGGUAAGGCCCUUCGGGGUACACGAGUGGCGAACGGGUGAGUAACACGUGGGUGAUCUGCCCUGCACUUCGGGAUAAGCCUGGGAAACUGGGUCUAAUACCGGAUAGGACCACUGCCUGCAUGGGUGGUGGUGGAAAGCUUUUGCGGUGUGGGAUGGGCCCGCGGCCUAUCAGCUUGUUGGUGGGGUGAUGGCCUACCAAGGCGACGACGGGUAGCCGGCCUGAGAGGGUGACCGGCCACACUGGGACUGAGAUACGGCCCAGACUCCUACGGGAGGCAGCAGUGGGGAAUAUUGCACAAUGGGCGCAAGCCUGAUGCAGCGGCGCCGCGUGAGGGAUGCCGGCCUUCGGGUUGUGAACCUCUUUCAGCACCGACGAAGCGCAAGUGACGGUAGGUGCAGAAGAAGGACCGGCCAACUACGUGCCAGCCGCCGCCGUAA